rnacentral:rRNA from 1 species
UCCAGACUCCUACGGGAGGCAGCAGUGGGGGAUAUUGCACAAUGGGGGGAACCCUGAUGCAGCGACGCCGCGUGAGCGAUGGAGUACUUCGGUAUGUAAAGCUCUGUCAGCAGGGAAGAGAAUGACGGUACCUGACCAAGAAGCCCCGGCUAAAUACGUGCCAGCAGCCGCGGUAAUACGUAUGGGGCAAGCGUUAUCCGGAUUUACUGGGUGUAAAGGGAGCGUAGGCGGCAGGGCAAGCCUGAUGUGAAAGCCCGGGGCUCAACCCCGGGACUGCAUUGGGAACUGCCCCGCUCGAGUGCCGGAGGGGCAGGCGGAAUUCCUAGUGUAGCGGUGAAAUGCGUAGAUAUUAGGAGGAACACCAGUGGCGAAGGCGGCCUGCUGGACGGUGUACUGACGCUGAGGCUCGAAAGCGUGGGGAGCAAACAGGAUUAGAUACCCCAGUA